rnacentral:rRNA from 1 species
AUUGAACGCUGGCGGCAGGCCUAACACAUGCAAGUCGAGCGAGCGGCGGACGGGUGAGUACUGUCUGGGAAACUGCCUGAUGGAGGGGGAUAACUACUGGAAACGGUAGCUAAUACCGCAUACCAUCAGAUGUGCCCAGAUGGGAUUAGCUAGUAGGUGGGGUAACGGCUCACCUAGGCGACGAUCCCUAGCUGGGCUGAGAGGAUGACCAGCCACACUGGAACUGAGAAACGGCCCAGACUCCUACGGGAGGCAGCAGUAGUGAAUCUUGGGCAAUGGGCGCAAGCCUGACGCAGCAAUGCCGCGUGUGUGAAGAAGGCCUUCGGGUUGUAAAGCACUGUCAGCGGAGAGGCGUUACCCACACAGGAAGCACCGGCUAACUCCGUGCCAGCAGCCGCGGUAAUUC